rfam:Gossypium arboreum cultivar AKA8401 contig_73598_1, whole genome shotgun sequence.
AAUCUAUGGUAUGGGCAUUUCUAAAUUAGUGUCUUAAAAUGCUCCCAUUCUUCGUGAAAGCUUUCCCCUUCUAACUGCUUCAACAUUGAAAUUUCCCUUCUUAGCU